UUUGCCCGCGGUCACAUGGUUGGCGCAUGUAGGAUGGAAAUCGUGAGUCCGGGCAGGUGCUCCAGAGCUCAGUCUUGGUAACCAUCAAACCUCUAGUGAUUCCCAAGUGUUUAUCUCCAGGACCGGCUUGUCUCCUGAGGGUCCACUGACUGCAGCCUUCCUGGGAUGACUGCAGACCUGGACACUUGGUCCUACCUUUGUGCUCCCCAUGGUCAUCUAGAACCGCCCAGGGAGGAAACUGAAGAAGGGUCUGGUGAGCCCGCAGGAGGGAAAGAAGGAAUGGGGAGGCCCCACACAUGAGCCUAUUUCUUCUCCUUCCCACCUCCCCAACAGCACUUCAUUCCAAACAACCUGGGACCCAAGGACCCUAUGAAUUUCCUUGUGCUUCUGUCUCCUGUGCUCUCACUUCUCUGUUACCAUGACUUGCUCCUCAAUCUCAAUUAGGCUCCACACUCAGCAUGGAGCCCAACGCGGGGCUUGAACUCACCACCCUGAGAUCAUGACCUCAGCUGAAAUCAAGAGUCGGAUGCUCAACUGACUGAGCCACCCAGGCACCCUGCUCCUCUGUCUUCUUAAUGCUGUUCACGUCCUCCUCCAGCAGGGACGAUCACUGCCCAAAUUUCUGGUCCCUUCCUCACUUUCUGGGCCCACUGAGGCAGUGUCCUUUGGGUGUCUCCAUCAACUAGAGCAGUAUCUAACCCACGCUGGAUAAAACACAGACUGCUGGGCCCCUGCCCAGAUUCUGACUCACUGGGCCUGGAGCAGGGCCUGGGAACGUGCCUAAUGCCACGUCACAGUGCCUGCGUCAUUUACCUCACUUCAUCUCAUCACAUGGGCAUUUGUUAUCUCAAAUCAUCAGCAUCAGCAUCAUCGGAAUGGGCCUGAUGUCACUGAAAUGGGCAGAUUCUGGAUUCAGACCUCCUGGUGGGACCCUACCUCCCCAAACCACCCACUGAUGAGACCUUGGACACGUAACUCAGUCUCUCUGAGCCCGGGUUCUCCUUUUGGAAGGAUGGGGCUGGGAUAUCAUUCAACUUCAUUGGAUUAAAGCCCAGAUGAAUAUUGUCACACAUAUUUUACAUUUGAGCAAAGGAUUUGAGGAAGAUGAACCUUCAGAUAUACAGCAAGUGGUGCAGUAGGUGCCAAGCUGUCAUGUAGCCUUGAUCUUGAAAACAGAAGACUAUGCCCUGUUAUGUGCCCUCUAGGGGUCAUACUUUUCUUCCUGAAUCUCCUGUGCCGCUCUGGGCAUCAGGCCAUUUCAUCCGGUGAUAGGGCAUCUCCAGGAGGAAAGGGGAAUCUCUCCCCAAAAUGGUGUCUCUGGGCUCCUGAGUUCCCAGCAGUGUAACAGAAUGUGGACAAGAUGCUCCAGCAGUGAGUGGGAAAGGACCUUUCAGCCACCUCAGAGUUGCAUCAGCCAAGGAUUCUCUGAGUCAGCACUGGCCUGGACUCUGACAUUAUAACUCUCGAUUGUCUCCAAUCUGACACCAGCCCAUCCCCAGGAUGGCUGUGUAAGACACUGGUUCUGGAGCCCGUGACCUCAGGGGCCCUGACACUAUUCCCCUUCUACCUUCACACUUCUGCCUUGGAAGCAAUGCCUUGAAGUCCUUCCUCCUUUCUUUCCAAGCCUCCAUCCAUUUCCUGUCACAGAAGGAAUGACAACUGCUUUCAAGAGGCCAACACUGUUCAGUCACAUGCCAAUAGCAAUGGAAAGAAUGAUCCCGAACAUAGUGGUCCAUGCAUACAGUAGGUUUUCUUAGUGUAAUUUUAUAGAUGAGGACACUGAGGCUUAGAGAGGCUAAGUGACUCGCUCAAGGACACACAGCUGAGCCAGAGAUAGAUCCCAGGUCUGUCUGAUUCCCAACUAAUGAAUCUAUAGGUAUGAACAUUAUUUUGGGAAUCAUCAGCUGGAACAGAAAGGACGGGAAGGAAUGCAUUUGGGUGCACAGGUUGUGAUACUAGUGACUCCAUCAGGGACGACCCAGAACCCAGGCAAAAAUCCAUCCAGAACAAUUUAUGGAACUGCAUUUUCUAGGAACCCUCUGUCUGUCUAGGUCCUUCUAUUUACUUCCUCCCUUGGUUCCCUUCCUGUCACGCAUAAGGCCAAGAUAUCAGGUCCCUGUGAUACAUUAGGUGGGGUCUCUGUCCUUGUAGAUGCUGCCACUGAUUGGACCCUGAGGGGCAGAAAUGGGAACUUCCUGGGGUCCAGAGCUUAGUAGGUACCAGCCCGUUAUAGUCUCUUACUGUUUUUUACAUGGAUGUUCACUAGACAUGUUCAACAUGACACCUGCUAUUCACCACUACCUUUGAAGGCUAUCAGUCCCACCCACAACAGGUCACUCUGACAUAGUUCCUUAAAUAAAGAGUUGCUACUUA